AUUGAACGCUGGCGGCAGGCCUAACACAUGCAAGUCGAACGAGUGGCGGACGGGUGAGUAAUGUCUGGGCAACUGCCCGAUGGAGGGGGAUAACUACUGGAAACGGUAGCUCAUACCGCAUACCAUCGGAUGAGCCCAGAUGGGAUUAGCUAGUAGGUGGGUUAACGGUUCACCUAGGCGAGGAUCCCUAACUGUUCUGAGAGGAUGACCAGCCACACUGGACCGGGGACACGGGCCAGCCUCCUACGGUCGGCCGAAGUGGGGAAUAUUGCACAAGGGGCGCAAGCCUGAUGCAGCCAUGCCGCUUGUAUGAAGAAGGCCUUCGGGUUGUAAAGUACUUUCAUCGAGGAGGCGUUACUCUCACAAGAAGCACCGGCUAACUCCGUGCCAGCAGCCACGGUAAUUC
rnacentral:rRNA from 1 species